CACCAUCAUUUCUUUUUCUAUUGUGUGGGAACUCGGCAUUGCAUCAUCCUUAGCACUGAGAACAAGAGAUGAAGAUCCCUCCUUGGUGGGUGCGGUCCAAGGUUCAGUAGCCAAUCUUCAAGCCAAAAAUCAUAGAAUAUCUCAAGCUGUAGUGACCCGUAAGGAUCAGUGAGUCCAACUCCUGGCUUCACACAGGACCACCCAAAAAUCAGAUCCUAUGUUUGAGAUCAUUGUCCAGAUGCUUCUUGAUCUCUAGUAAGUUCAGUGCCAUGCCCACUGCUCUGGGAAGCCUGUUCCAGUUCCCAGUCACUCUCUGAUGAAGAAUCUUUCCCCAGCAUCCAAUCUGACCCACCUCCCCUAAUGCAGCUUUGUACUAUUCCCUCAGGUUAUAUCACUUGUCACCUGAGAGAGGAGAUCAGCACCAAUUUUUUUUUUUUUAAUUU
ensembl:lncRNA